rnacentral:rRNA from 1 species
GACGAACGCUGGCGGCGGGCUUAACACAUGCAAGUCGAACGGAAAGGCCCUGCUUUUGUGGGGGGCUCGAGGGGCGAAAGGGGGAGUAACACGUGAGUAACCUGCCCGUGACUUUGGGAUAACUUCAGGAAACUGGGGCUAAUACCGGAUAGGGGCUCCUGCUGCAUGGUGGGGGGUGGAAAGGUUCGGCGGUUGGGGAUGGACUCGCGGCUUAUCAGCUUGUUGGUGGGGUAGUGGCUUACCAAGGCUUUGACGGGUAGCCGGCCUGAGAGGGUGACCGGCCACAUUGGGACUGAGAUACGGCCCAGACUCCUACGGGAGGCAGCAGUGGGGAAUAUUGCACAAUGGGCGGAAGCCUGAUGCAGCAACGCCGCGUGCGGGAUGACGGCCUUCGGGUUGUAAACCGCUUUCGCCUGUGACGAAGCGUGAGUGACGGUAAUGGGUAAAGAAGCACCGGCUAACUACGUG